GACGAACGCUGGCGGCGUGCCUAAUACAUGCAAGUAGAACGCUGAAGGAGGAGCUUGCUUCUCUGGAUGAGUUGCGAACGGGUGAGUAACGCGUAGGUAACCUGCCUGGUAGCGGGGGAUAACUAUUGGAAACGAUAGCUAAUACCGCAUAAGAGUAGAUGUUGCAUGACAUUUGCUUAAAAGGUGCAAUUGCAUCACUACCAGAUGGACCUGCGUUGUAUUAGCUAGUUGGUGAGGUAACGGCUCACCAAGGCAACGAUACAUAGCCGACCUGAGAGGGUGAUCGGCCACACUGGGACUGAGACACGGCCCAGACUCCUACGGGAGGCAGCAGUAGGGAAUCUUCGGCAAUGGACGGAAGUCUGACCGAGCAACGCCGCGUGAGUGAAGAAGGUUUUCGGAUCGUAAAGCUCUGUUGUAAGAGAAGAACGAGUGUGAGAGUGGAAAGUUCACACUGGGA
rnacentral:rRNA from 1 species